UGAAAGAAAGUAAAGAUGUACUGUCCAUUUUGUGGAACUGCCGCCAUAAAUUCUGCAGACUUUUGUUGUCAAUGUGGCAGAAACAUAAAAUGUGUCCAAGAUCAUGCAAACAAAGCCCAAGAUGAGAGGAACACUACCACUGCAACUCCCGAUGUUCAACCAAGCACCAGCACAGGUGUAGAGUAUUUCAUGAACUUUAGAGCUAUAAAAGAGAGGGAAAGAAAGAAAUUUUUUACCAAGAAGCAUCAGAACAAAACACAGAAGGGAAAUAAACUGAAGAUUAAUGUUGGGCUUAUGAGGAUGCAGGGAGAUUCCCUUAAGACAGUGAGAGGGAAGUUACUUCCAGUUGAGAUUCACCCUGAGUGGGCAUCGGAACAAGUGCUUGCUGCUGCUGUAAAGAAGCAAAAGGAUAUAGGUCAAUAUAGACCUGAGAGAUUGUGUCCAUGUCUUGUUGUAUCCUGAUGCAAGGGAGGUUAAGAACAUCCCAGGAACAGACAUUCCUUUCACAGUGCAAAAGUACAAGGAGGCAAUUGGAAAGCCUUACCAAAGAAUUACGCUUUACAUUUGCCCUGUUGAGGAAUUUGCAAAAAGCUAUAUCCAGUGCAGGUACAUUGACUGAACUACACCAGUCAGUUGAAAGACAUGCAAGCAUCUUGCAAACUGCUGGCUGCUUGCAGUUCCCUGUGACUGUUGAUGACAAAUUGAAAAUUGUAAAGGAGUUCAUUGAUUGGUACAUCAUUUACCGCAACCAUUUCUCUAUUCAAAGAUUCAAGGAUGGCCUUUCAACACUGAACUUCCAGAAUGCUUUGGAGCAGCAUGCUUCCGUCUUCAGGCCAUUUAUGUGUGCAAGAGUGGAACAGCUGACAUCCAAAAUAUUGAGGAAAUAUUUGAGGUUCAGCUCAGUGAAAAGGGUAGCAGCAGACGACAUGAGGAAACAAGAGUGCUAGGAUUCUGGAGAGACUUUCUCCUUGACACAGAAGAACAAAAAACGGGUCUCUCUCUCCAGGACAUCCUGAUGUUUGCCACCGGCUUGAACACACUACCUCCAUCUUCAAUUCUGCCACCACCAAAACUGAUCUUUCAGGCCACUUCUCGUUUUCCUGUCAGUAGC